CUCUAACGCUGGCGGCGUGCUUAACACAUGCAAGUCGAACGGAAAGGCCCUUCGGGGUACUCGAGUGGCGAACGGGUGAGUAACACGUGGGUGAUCUGCCCUGCACUUUGGGAUAAGCCUGGGAAACUGGGUCUAAUACCGGAUAGGACUACGGCCUGCAUGGGUUGUGGUGGAAAGCUUUUGCGGUGUGGGAUGGGCCCGCGGGCCUAUCAGCUUGUUGGUGGGGUGAUGGCCUACCAAGGCGACGACGGGUAGCCGGCCUGAGAGGGUGACCGGCCACACUGGGACUGAGAUACGGCCCAGACUCCUACGGGAGGCAGCAGUGGGGAAUAUUGCACAAUGGGCGCAAGCCUGAUGCAGCGACGCCGCGUGGGGGAUGACGGCCUUCGGGUUGUAAACCUCUUUCAGUAGGGACGAAGCGUAAGUGACGGUACCUAUAGAAGAAGCACCGGCCAACUACGUGCCAGCAGCCGCGGUAAUACGUAGGGUGCGAGCGUUGUCCGGAAUUACUGGGCGUAAAGAGCUCGUAGGUGGUUUGUCGCGUUGUUCGUGAAAACUCACAGCUUAACUGUGGGCGUGCGGGCGAUACGGGCAGACUAGAGUACUGCAGGGGAGACUGGAAUUCCUGGUGUAGCGGUGGAAUGCGCAGAUAUCASGAGGAACACCGGUGGCGAAGGCGGGUCUCUGGGCAGUAACUGACGCUGAGGAGCGAAAGCGUGGGGAGCGAACAGGAUUAGAUACCCUGGUAGUCCACGCCGUAAACGGUGGGUACUAGGUGUGGGUUUCCUUCCUUGGGAUCCGUGCCGUAGCUAACGCAUUAAGUACCCCGCCUGGGGAGUACGGCCGCAAGGCA
rnacentral:rRNA from 1 species